UGUUUGGGUUUAUUCUGAGUGGAAAAUGAUGUAUUUUUGUUUGUUUGUUUGUUUAUCUGUACUUUGGAAGUCCUGAUUGAGGAGCCUGAAGAUAUCCACACUGAGCAUUGAUCUGUGCAUCAGUAAGUCUGGAUCUAAAGAGGAAGAUCCACACUGGAGCACAGGUCUUCUACAAUGUAGUCAUCGUGCCCUGUGUGGGGGCCACCAUGGGAUGGGCCCCAAGAACAUGGUGUGAACAACAACAGCAAAAAUGGUCUUGACCUCAGAGAGUUCAGGUCUACUCUGAUGGGAAAGAAAAUAUUACACAGUGCCCACCUUUCCGAUGGAGCUGAAGGAGACGGAGUCAGAGGGACUUAAAACAGUAACAACAACAACAAAGUGACAUGGAAUCCAUGAAAGGGAGUGUGACAGAUAAGCAACUUUUCAACUGUAUUCGCAUUUAUAGAGUGUUUUAGGAAGGUAAAUAUUGAAAGGAACACAACGAAGUAAAUGAAAUUAGAAAUGCACAUUUUAUUUUGUGAAAAUACAAUUUUUUGUCUGUACUAGGACUAUAUCAACCAGAAAGAUAGCUCUCCAUGAGACAUCAUGACUCUCUAAAAGAUGCUUAUUGUACAGAUGAUGUUUUUCUAAAUUUACAGAUCUUUUUCACCUUUAGUGUUUAUGCCUGGUAUACAUUUUAUCCUAUAUUAUCUUGCACUUUUAUCAUUCAUGAAACAUUCAGCAAGUCUUUACUAGCUCGUUGGUGAAAGCAAAAUGAAUACACAUUUCUCCCCAUUUGGCAGACAUUUUCUGAGGGUGUAAAUUUAAUAAAGUUAUACUGAGAACUUCUUAACUACCUCCUAUACACAAGAUAUGCACACACUGAGAGAAUGGUGCAGAUGUGUUAAUUAGUAUACAUAGAAAAGUAAAUAACAAUUCAUGGCAAUCAUUGUAUGUAGGCAAUCAGUAGGGUUUCUAUUAGAUUCAUUAGUUCUUUCAUUCACUCUUCCAAUUAUUCAUUUGAAAUAUAUCUUCACAUUUCAUUCAAAACCUAAGAUUCUCUGAUUGUAUGAUAUGAUGGCUUCAAAUCCACUCACUUGUCUAGGUUUACCUUGAACUCUUCUUUAUGAUGUGUGUGCUCUCUUUCCAAACAGCCCUAAGAAAAGAGGUCAGAGGACAUAAUUUCUCUUUCUUCAGAGGCGUAUUCUCUGAAACUCCUGGAAGCAUGCUAUGAAAGCAAGUAAUAUUCUCUCCAUAUCUACUUGCUAAAAGAAUUAGUGUAUAUAUGCACAUAAACAUACAAACAGAGAUACAUAAAUACAUGUAUUUUCUAAAUGUGGUGUCAAUAUCUCAUCAAUAUUCUGUAUCUCAUCCUGGAUUGAGUUACUUAUCCCAAGGAGUCUCUUGCUAAACUGUAGAAUAAAGUAUCACUCAGGGCAUUUUGAUAUAUCCAAAUUAAUGCAGCUAUUUUAAUGCCACCAUUUUUAUCCAGGAGGUUGUUUGUAGAAUUUUUUUUAUUUGGUCCCAUUAAAAUAUGAACUCACUGCAUUUCUUUGUUCUUAUUUAUCAGGGAGGCCACUUAAGAGAAGUCAUAAUUAUCAGCCCAUUCUUGAUCCUAUCUCCAACACAAUUCCCAUCCCUCGAGUGAGGAGGGCCUUUUAAACAUUCCAUCAGGGGCCUGUGGAGGACGUCUGGCGGCGAGUCAAUCAAGAAGCAGCAUGAACUGGCAGUAGAAUCUACGAGGAAUUUUAAAAUAUACAUUUAUAUAUACAUGCAUAUACUCUUUUUUUUCGAUCUGCCAUUCCUAGGCAGACUUCCUCUGAAUUAGCUUCCGUGGUCUCUCCACAGACAGUUGUUUUUCCCACUCUCCCACCCCAGCCCCUUAUGCUUCCCUCACCACCCUAGCACCCCCACCCUCCGCCGCCCCCCUAGUGCUGGAGACCUGUGCAAUAUCAUUUUCCGCAUAAUGAAAUCCGGAGUGACAUUAAUAUAAGUGUAAUUUUAUAGAAGGGAAUGGCCCUGGCUGAUGGUUUCUACCUGCUGUGUUUUGAUGAUAGACAUCGGGAUGUCACCAUCUGUGUAAUGAAAUUUCACCUCCGUAAUGGUUCAGACUAUCAACCGUUCUUCCAAGCUGGCUCUGGGAAUCUAUUUAUUUAUUUAUUUACGUAUUUAUUUAUCUGCAAACGGGUGCUGUAGGCCUGUUUAUCAUAGAAAGUAUGGGUGAAAAGAGGAUUAAGUGCAUUAAGGAAAGUAAAGGAGAAGUGGAUGUAAACAUUGGCUAUUGCCCCAUAAAUACAUUGAUCGUGAGGUGAAGUUACAAUGCCCAGUCCUGCAAAUGAGUUUUUUCUUCUACAUUAACCUACAUAGUUCUCUAAUUGGGACAGAUACUGAUGAGUUAAUUUCAGAUAAGUGUAAAAUUAAGGUAAGUAACAUAUAUGGAAAGCCUAUUAUGUGAAUGUGUAGAAAUUAUCUCAUUUAACUUCCAAAUAAUGUUGUCAGGAUGCAAUGACUUAGCAGGUAUAAAGUUCCAGAAGACAAAUACAAGACAAAUGUGUAAUACUCAGCAAAAGGUAGGCACUCUUACUCACUUAAGCAAAAAGUGAGACUCAGAGAGGAUAAUUAACUCGGAGAUGAAACACAAUUUAACCCAGAACCGUCUUCCUCAUAAAUUCAUGCUCUUUUCAUUACCCCAAGCUGCCUCCUAGGCACUGAGGCCAAAUUGGGGUUGGUGAAUUGGAUUCAGCAGGGAAAAUUUCAGAUAUGUCCAAAUGCCCAAAUAUGGCUGUAUAAUUUCAAGUUGGAAUAUCAACUAUUUGUGUCUCCAGUUGCCAGCAAUGACCUAGAUUUUGUUUGUUUUCUAUUUCUCUAAUGCUUAGCUGUGACAAUGGCAUUAAAAAGAUAAAGGAGACAGGAGAGAGGAUAAAUAUUGAUAUGUAAUUAUUUCAGUUAGAUUGCAAACUGCUUAUUCCAUUACAUAACAAGUCCAUUUGUUUAUGAAUAGUUAGAACUACACUUCAUAUGAUAUCCAGGAACAAAAUACACGUUUUUGAUAAUUUUUGAAUAUUAUGGCUGAUUAUAGCUCCUACUCAUUUUUUAAAUAAAACUGCUAGUAGUAUUAUUUCAUAACUAUUCAGUGUUUUACUCUUUUCAAUUCUGAUUUUUUAUUUUUAAACUAAAAAAAAAAAAAAAACCUAGGUUUCAAAUUUCUGUCUCAACUCUUUUCAUUAGUGAGAUUAUUUAACUUUGAGGUAUGCCACAAGUAAUAGAUAAUAAUAAUAGCUAUAUAAUCACAUUUUUAAAUUAUUUAUCUUUGUUGUAAAUAUGUUUGAGCAGAUUCAAGAUUAUAAUGUAAUUUUUGAUAAUUGAAAACUCUCAUAUGAUUUCUUCAUAUCAGUAGAAAAGAAAGGAAUAGAAUUACUAUUGUUUGCCACAUAAAAUUCAAAGUCUCUGUACUUGUAUCAUGGCUUGCAGAACCCACCUGAAAUUUACAUGAGUUCUCGGCCAAGUGUGAUGGCUCACACCUGUAUUCCUAGCACUUUGGGUGGCUGAGGCGGGAGGAUCACUUGAGGUUAGGAGUUUGAAACCCACCUGGCCAACAUGGCGAAACCCCGUCUCUACUAAAAAUACAAACAAAUUAGCUGGGUGUGGUGGUGCACGCCUGUAGUCCCAGCUACUUGGGAGGCUGAGGUAAGAGAAUUGCUUGAACCCAGGAGGUGGAGGUUGCAGUGAGCCAAGAUCGUGCCACUGCACUCCAGCCUAGGCAACAAAAUGAGACUCUGUCAAAAAAACAAACAAAAAAAAAGAAUGAAAAAAUAGAAGAAAUUUACAUGAGUCCUGACAAAAGCUUGAGAAUUCAGGAUCUACUUGGGUAAGUGUAGUUGGCAUUCCAGCCUCUUCUGAAUAAUGUGUGAUUUUCCCAUCUUCUUUCUUUCACCCCUUCUGCAUAGUCACUCUUCGUGUUAACUUGGUUUAUAUCUCAUUCUGUGUAUUUGUCUCAUAUCUCCCAGUUCUAUUAGAACCUCCCCAAAAUGAGGAGCUAAUUUUACUCAUCUUUAUUUCUUACAACACCUGGCAUAAUGCACUGAAAAAUUAGGGACUCAAUUUACAUGUGUUCAAUCACCCUCCUUUAACCAGCAUUAAAGCUUGAACAUCAUUCCUGGUUCUUCAGUUCUCCUGCAUGGAGUCUUGAGCCUUUCUUCAUCACCUCAGUCAGAAGACUCUGUGAUUGGAGAUUCCAAGAGAUCAUCCUCGAUCACCAUUUUAUGCGGGCAGAGCAAAGAAUAAAAAUGCUUAAUACCUGGACAGAUGGCCCAAGAGUCAUUGGAGUGUGAAGCUGGCAAUGUUUCCUUCGUAGUGAGCACAUGCUUAUCCACUUUAGAAUAAACAAACCCAGUGGUAUAGGUUUGUUUAUCAACAGGAGGUAAGGAUAGAGGUGGGGGACAAGUUUAUUUUCUUGACAACUUCCAUCUGCAUCUUGGGCCAAAACCCCUGCUAACUCAAGAUUAGAAUACUUCCCUUAAAAAUGUGUUUACAGUGACCAGAAACCUUUGCAUUGAUGAGAGACCAGAGCUUGGGGUACCUAUCCCAGUUAAUGCAGCCCCCUAAUAAUUUCACCUAUAUCUAGGGGCAUCUACAGCCUCUAAAAUCCCACCUUACACUUUACCUUAUUCCAUGCAAUCUCCUCUCCAAUUAAACCGAACUUCACCCAGUUUGAUCUAACCAUUAAAACACGGAUGACAAUCCUUUGCAUUGAACGAGAUGAGCUUAUCCUAGUCAAUGUUUGUUGAGCGAAGCCCAAAUCUCACUCACCACCUUUUGUCUGUUUUCAAUUUCUGCCAAACCCCUCACUUUUCCCUUUUGGGAAGAUGUCAUUAUCUAAGACUCAUUAAGAGAAAUUAUUCACCAUAAUGACUACAAUUGUUACAUGUACUGAGCUUCUAACCCUGAAAAUUCAAGUUCAAACGUUCCUACAUACACAUACUGAAACACACACCACCCACACAUACAAAAUCUAUUCUUUAUUUCUGGUCACAUUUUGUUGAAUGCCCCUCCAGGGUAUUAAAGCUUCUUCUGUUGCAUUGACACUUACUCUCUCUUUCCAGAUUAGAGGUGGAACAUGAACAGUUCAAAUGCAGUCCAAUCUCCACACAUUGGGUCUGGAGUAACAUCAGCAAGAUAAUUACAUAUAAAAGUUGAGCUUCAAUUAAUUGGGAGUUCUAGGCCUAUAAACUAAGGUUUAGGAAAUUUGCCUUUGCUAGAGCUUUUGAAGAGCAAGAGGAAGGAAUCAAGGUAACUCAGGAAAACUUAGAAGCAGGAAGAGCCAGUGGCCAUAAAUGGUAUGAACAGAUGGGCUUCUAAGGGGCAAGAGGUCUUGUGUUUCAGUGUAAGUGAGAGGCCAGUAAUCAAGGUCCUAUCCUACAACAGUGAAAGUGAGGAAAAGAGAUCAGAGCUGGGAUCUCAUUAAUUUUCUGUGAAGUUUGUAACAAGGGCAUGUUGUCGCAGGUCUCAAAUCUGUGAUAGUUUUCCAGGUUUAUGCAAACUGUGUUAGCUAUAGGAAUGAUCUAGUCCCUUUUCCUACUGCUCUAAGUCUAUAAUUCAGGCAGAAGGAUGCAGUCAUGUGCAGCAUGUUCUUCUGUUCUCAUCGCUUUAUUCUGUAUGGAAUCUGCUCAGUGGGCCCCUUUGGUGACGUUUUUUCUAUUUUACAGAGGAAAGCCAGGAACCUAGUUAUAACCUGACGGCAUGACUUCUAUAUACCGGGACAGGGGUGGGGAGGGGGAAGAAAAAAUCUCACAUUCAACUGUAAAAUGAAAUAAAAAGGUAAUAGCACAUAUAUUGUUGAAAUUGCAUCCUAUAUUUUAAAAUUUUGAUUAAAAAACUUAAAGAUUUAAAACUCUACCUUAUCUAGCCUGUAUUCAAGGGAAGUUGUCUGACAUUAGCAAGGUUGUAGACAAUGUAAGUGUCUCAAUAGACGUUACUCAGAGCUCCAAAAUCAUCCUUCCAAACUUUUAGAACUGCAGAGCUUCUCAUGCUGAAAUUGCCUAGGGAUCUCAAAGGCCUUCUCUGGCAACCCAGAACACAGAAAUAAAUGGAUGAGAUUUAGAGGAGUUAGCAAAUCAUAGCCUAUAGGCCCAAUCUAGCCCAUCGCCUGCUUUUGUUAAUGAAAUAUUACUGUUAUGUAUUGUCUAUGGCUCUUUUUGUGCUAUGUUUGCAGAGUUGAGGAGUUGUGAUGUGGCCUGCAGUGCUUAAAUUAUUUGCUAUUUGGCCCUCAACAAAAAAAAAAAGUUUGUUAACCCCCACAUUAGAGAAUAUGAACAUUAGAAAGUGUCAUGUAAGCAUCCUUUAAGUGACUAUACAAAUAGGGACAAACAACUAACAAAACAAAUAAAAUGCCAUGUAUAUUAUUUUAUAAGUAGCUGAUAAAAAUCUUAACUCAUAUGACAAAUAACGUGACAUUUAUCCUGAAGAAGAAGAGAGAAAGAAGGGGACACUAAAGUCUUAUUUUCAAGAUAGUCCAUCAUAAUGGAAUUUUUGAUAUCAUUUGUCCCAGUUUAUAGAAGUAAAAGAAAAUGCAACUUAAUUCAAAAACAGAAAUUGGAACUUUCUUUUAAAGGAAUGAGUAAGUGUUAAAAUAAAAACACGCCUCAUUCCCUAGUUAGAAAUUAUUUCCAAAUCAGGUAAUUUUCUUUAUGAGGCAUCCCAAACCCAUUUACUUUUCUCCAUCCCCAAUGCCCACCUUGGCUCAAACCAUCACUGUCUCCCAAAUGAAUUAUUAGAUUCAUAACUGGUUUUGUCUAUUCACAUCAAUUCUCUACAAUGCUGUCAGAGUGUUUCUUCUACAGACAGACUUGAUUAUGCUUAAAACUGUUAAAAGCCUUCAUACUGCGGGGAGGACAGAGCUUAGACCUCUUACUCUGGCCUAUAAGGAUGUCUCUCAUCUUUCCUUCUCCAUUUCAAAUCAUUGGUCUCAACUCUUGACCUCUUGUGCUUCCCACCAUAAAAGUAAUUAAUUGCUCUUUCAUCAAUGGCUAAACUCUCAACAUCCUCCCAGCUUUUGCCUUUACCUGUUCCUCUUCCUAGACUUUCUUUCCCCACCCCUGUCCCAAUCUUCAAAUAGCAAGACUGAGCUAGAUAGGUAUCUUCCCUUAAAUCUUACCAAUGGAAGCACACUCCAUUUACUAUCCUACUGUAUUAAUUGGUUACUUUUCUCUGUCCCCAAAUAAGUAGAAUCAGCUUCAGAACAGAGGUCAUGGUUUCUUUAUUUUUCUAUCAUUAGAGUUUAACAUGCCUGGUACAAUUUUGAAGCUCAAUAAACUGUCUCAAAUAACACAGUAAAUGAAUAAAUAAAUGGAUGAAAAGAAGGAUGAGAGAAAAAGACGAAGAAAGAGAAAAAGAACAAAUUUAUGCCCUCUUGCCCAAGAAGAAUAUAAAAAUACAGUUGGUUUGGGGGGCAUGAGGAUGGGAUCAGAGGCACAUGCUACUGUAAGAUGCAAGUGUAUUUUCAGAGAAAAUAAAUUAUAGUGUGUUUCUUGUAUAGCAAACUGUAAACCUAUCACCUCCUGCUGUAAAUCUGACCCUCCAUGGAAUAAAUCUGUCCUGUAAUCUCAGUGUUUUUCAUAAAAUAGCAUUCCAUUCUUUAAAAGAGUAAAAUGAUCUAAUCUGCAGUUCCAAAACUUCACUUUUCAAAAAAAAAGAAAGGAUUAUUGAAAUUUAUAGAUUUGGCCAUGGCAAAAUGGCAUUUAUAUUUUUCAGAGUUAAAAUGAAAUAAAAUAUAUAACUUGUUGGGUUUUGCUUUCAUGACAAAUAGGCACUGACAAAUACAUACCACAUUACCAUCCUUGAUUGCUCUGAUGGAACUCAUUUUCAUCUUGUGUUCCUCUAAUUACAUGAAAAUUGCAUACUUUUUAUGCAUGACACAUUUUGCACAGCUUUAGCAAAAGGUUGUGAUGAAAAGGAGAAAAAAAAAAUUUAUCAGUUUUUCCCCUUUCACAGCAGCAAUUGAUCACCUUCCCAGCAAUCAGUCUUGCUUUAUGGGCCUACUUUUCUCCACUAUUGUUGUAACCAAGUGGCAGCAGAAGGGCCUGUAUACAAGAAAAUAUGGUGGGGACUUUUAGGUCCUUUUCUCUACUCUUAAUAGAUGAGAUUUAGGAUGCCCUUGCUUUCCGAUGGUUGUUGCUGAGUUUUCUUUGCUUUCUACAUCCCUGUCUGCCUGGAUUUGAAGCUUUCACCUUAGAAAGACUGAUAGGACUCCUGUAUAAGAAUCUCAUCUCACCCCUUAUUUCUCAUUCAUUCAAACUACUUUACAUUUAUAGCAAAUAUUUAAAAUUGUAAAGCACUUUCCCACAUUUUUUUUUUUACAUUUUAACUCCACAAUUAAAUGUAAUAUAUUUAGGGAAGGCAAUUUUAAUCUACCUUUUUAAAAUGAAGAAUGAUUACAUGACUUGUGGUUUACCUAAGUUGAUGUGAUUUAUUUAUUUUAAAUCUUGAAGCUGACUCAGAAGUCCUGGCCUCCUGUUCCAGCUUUUCCCAGUGUUUGACUUCUCUUUACUGAAGACCUCGGGAAAGAGUUUUUCUGCUACCUAUCCCUAAAAUGCAUACAAAGAAUACAUCAAUAACAAAUACCCGAGCAAAUUACAGGCAAUCAAUUGGGUGUUUCUUUUCUCAUUCUUUAUUUCUAUUCUUUCUGAGAAAGAAGGCAUUGGCAUUCAGAGGAAGCUCAGCGUCAUUGUAUUUAACUCGAAAGGGAUUGUAGAAGGCACAUCUCAUUCCUUGAAAAUAAUGACAAAUUAUGCAAUUUUUGUUUUACCCAACUAGAUUGAAAACGCCUGGGGAAUAGCCAAGCUGCCUGGCAAAGGGAGGCAUUUGAUGUUCAGGCUUUGGAGCUCAGGGAACGACAUUGCUUUUUAAACAGGUGCGGGCUCCUAACGCUGCGCUUGCUUCCCUUUUUUGGACAGGCACAGCACCUGACCAACUUCGGGAGAACAAAGCCUCCAUCUGGACCAAAGGGAAAGAGAGCUGGUCGCCUGUGGAGCAGCAAAGAACAAGGCUUUGCUUCCCUUUGAAGAGCUGGCGUUCUUGUUAAUCACCUGGCAAAGUCUUAAUUUAAAGAGGGACUCUUAGAGAAGGGGAGAAUCCCAAGUAUAUUUGACUUUCAUAUCUACCUACCUUUCAUCAGCUUUAUUAAAAUUGGUGAUGUCUCAUGUAUUAAUUGUGAACCCCAUUUGUAUCUGAAUAUGAAGUAUUGCCUUGAGGUCCUCUGUCAUUGCUCUCUGGUCCUGGGAUGUACUCACAUUGCUGCCUUCUCCGUGGAGUAAUUAUUUCUGGGGAUAAAUACUGUAGUGUCAGGCACACUGGAUUACAACUGUUGCAGGGUAAACACAAGGGGACUUCAGGUUUUUAGAAUGCCUAAUUAGACGACAGUAAAUG
rnacentral:lncRNA from 1 species